rnacentral:tRNA from 1 species
CAUCAAGAAGCUUGCAAAGCACUAGCCUUUUAAGCUAAAGAAGGGAAAUUUUUUCCCCCUGAUGC